AUUGAACGCUGGCGGCAUGCCUAACACAUGCAAGUCGAACGGGGGUAGGGGCAACUCUACUUCAGUGGCGGACGGGUGAGGAAUGCGUCGGAAUCUACCCUAUGGUGGGGGAUAACACAGGGAAACUUGUGCUAAUACCGCAUGAUGUCGAGAGACCAAAGCAGGGGACCGCAAGGCCUUGCGCGAUAGGAUGAGCCGACGCCCGAUUAGCUAGUUGGUAGGGUAAAGGCCUACCAAGGCGACGAUCGGUAGCUGGUCUGAGAGGAUGAUCAGCCACACUGGGACUGAGACACGGCCCAGACUCCUACGGGAGGCAGCAGUGGGGAAUAUUGGACAAUGGGCGCAAGCCUGAUCCAGCAAUGCCGCGUGCAGGAUGAAGGCCUCGGUUGUAACUAGCUUUGUACGGUAACGAAACGGACUCGCCUUAAUAUGGUGGGCGUAAUGACGGUACCGUAAGAAUAAG
rnacentral:rRNA from 1 species